AGGACCACUCCUGCGUAUCCACUGGAGCCUAUGCGAGUGCCUGUGGAUCUGUGGUCUCUGCCCAGCUUGGGGUAUGGAGGCAUGGAGGCCUCAACAUGGAGCUGAAAGCAUCAAACCUAAGGGUGUCCUCUGCCAUUCUGGAGGGGCAGUUGCUGGUCUGCCCAGCCUUCUAUGAUUCUAAACCAAAUGACAGCAAAGCUCAAGAAGAGUUCAGAGAAAAUGAUCCUGACAACCUGCUUUCCAAGGGCCUUGAAAAUUUUGCUUCUGGCUUGUUACUAACAAUGGUAAUAUAGUAUCACUUUGAUACAACACCACUUCUAGUCUCCCUCAAACAUGGCUUUGCUAAUCAUUGUAAUCUUCUCCACAUGAGAAAUUUUUGGCAUUUUAUGGGAGUCAGCUGAGAAUUUUCCUGGACUUGAACCUUAAAGAUUUUGCUGAAUAUUUUAAUCUGUGGACUGUGAAUGACUUUAUAAUACAGUUUUCCUUUCAUUUUGU
rnacentral:lncRNA from 1 species